AUAUUGGUCAAUGGACGCAAGUCUGAACCAGCCAUGCCGCGUGGAGGAUUAAGGCCCUCUGGGUUGUAAACUCCUUUUAUCUGGGAAGAAAUGUACUUUUUCUUGAGUACUUGACGGUACCAGAGGAAUAAGCACCGGCUAACUCCGUGCCAGCAGCCGCGGUAAUACGGAGGGUGCAAGCGUUAUCCGGAUUCACUGGGUUUAAAGGGUGCGUAGGUUGGCAGGUAAGUCAGUGGUGAAAUCUCCGGGCUUAACCCGGAAACUGCCGUUGAUACUAUUUGUCUUGAAUAUUGUGGAGGUAAGCGGAAUAUGUCAUGUAGCGGUGAAAUGCUUAGAUAUGACAUAGAACACCAAUUGCGAAGGCAGCUUACUACACAAUCAUUGACGCUGAGGCACGAAAGCGUGGGGAUCA
rnacentral:rRNA from 1 species